rnacentral:rRNA from 1 species
AGUGAACGCUGGCGGUAGGCCUAACACAUGCAAGUCGAACGGCAGCACAGUAAGAGCUUGCUCUUACGGGUGGCGAGUGGCGGACGGGUGAGGAAUACAUCGGAAUCUACUUUUUCGUGGGGGAUAACGUGGGGAAACUUACGCUAAUACCGCAUACGACCUACGGGUGAAAGCAGGGGAUCUUCGGACCUUGCGCGAUUGAAUGAGCCGAUGUCGGAUUAGCUAGUUGGCGGGGUAAAGGCCCACCAAGGCGACGAUCCGUAGCUGGUCUGAGAGGAUGAUCAGCCACACUGGAACUGAGACACGGUCCAGACUCCUACGGGAGGCAGCAGUGGGGAAUAUUGGACAAUGGGCGAAAGCCUGAUCCAGCCAUGCCGCGUGGGUGAAGAAGGCCUUCGGAUUGUAAAGCCCUUUUGUUGGGGAAGAAAAGCAGUAGGUUAAUACCCCGCUGUUCUGACGGUACCCAAAGAAUAAGCACCGGCUAACUUCGUG